GAGGUUAGAACAAAGGACAUUGGGAGGAGAGGAACUACAAGUGAGGAGGUGCUCUAAUGGACUUUGAUGCCUUGGUGGGGAAGAUGCUCCUUCAGUACCACUCUGGCAAAAAGGAAAGGACAAAUAUGGAAGAAAAGAAGAAGAAUAGAAUCACAAAGAAAAAGGAAGGAUGAUGCAAGAAAAAACAAACCACACAGAAGAACUUCACACUGCAAUGAAUCUGGAAUGCAAGUCUUCAUCAGAAGGGAGAGAAAUAUUUUGGAUAGUUCAGCCACAAAAUAUGUAAACCACUAACAAGUGUAAAUACACAUGUAGACACAACACACACUAGCACAGGUAA